rnacentral:lncRNA from 1 species
AAGAAAGGAAAGUGAAAUAAACGAAACAAAAACAAAACAAAAAAUAAACGAAAGAAAGAAAAGGGGAAAACGGGUCUGCUUCAGAAAACGCAGAAAGGGAUUUCAAAGGGAGAGGAAGAAGAAGAAAAAAAAAGGCUGGAACCAAACCUUGAGAAAUCUUAAAUACGCGCUGAUUUUGCGGGUAAUGCUCUAAUUUUUCAUCUGGGUUCUUUUCUUCUGGUAAUUCUUUUAUCUCAGUUCAUAUAUUUAAAUAGUUUCACAAAGUAUAAGAAAUAUAAUACCAAUAAGAGUUAUUCUGGGCAAAUUAUGCAAUUGAAUUAGCCAAUAUUACUGUAUGAUAGAUUCACUUGGAAAAAAGAAGAGUAUUGAUAUAUUUGUACUUAAAUAGUCUCAUUAUAUAUGAUCUUUGUUAGGUGUAAAUUAAGUUAGGGUGCAAGAAUUGAGUUUUUCUGUUUAACUAUAUUGCAAUGACAAUAUCGGUUUGGGUUUGAAUGUGGUAAAUUGAGUACAAAAGAUAUUAAGAAGGAAUAUUAUGAACAGUAAAGUUAUUUAAUUUCAAUUUAUGCACACGACUAAGAAAAUUGAAUAGUAAAGGGAAUAAACCAUAUAAAUACCUUUUUAUUCAAAAGAUUUUGGACUAAUUUAAAUUACUUAUAGCAUGAGUAAAUAUAAUUCGGCGAAUUCAUGAUAAAAUUAAAAAAAAAAAACUCGAAGGAUUUAGUAUUUUAAUUAUUGAUGAAUUUAGCCUAAAUGAGGCAAUUAACAUGAGAUCGAUAUUAUAGAAUUAUAGAUUGAUAGGAGGAAUUUGUACGAAUUGCUCGAGGUGAAGCAUUUGGUAUUUCGGCACGAGUACUGUGAGUAGUAAUCUUACCGCAAUUUGUGUUUUCAUAACCUGCAUGAUUUACACAUGAUUUUUAAUAUGAAAAUAUGACCGAUUAAUUUGAGUUGCAUGUGGGACAAGUCUUUUACUCGAUAUGAUACCGAAAUAGUUAUUUGACAUGAUUACCGUUGUUUUAAAUAUUCUUGCUGUCACUAGAUAUGUUUUACCGUUAUUUGAAUUUAUUGUUAUCGAAAUGAAAUUACAUGAUUUGAUAAGAAUCGAAAUGCCCUAUAUUGUCUUAAAAAUAUUUUCCUAUGAGUAUAUAUGGAUACAGAGACAAAUAUAAAUGGGAGUAGACUUUUAAGGAUCCCGUAGCUAACGGCGGAUUCGUUAGACCUUGCGCACCUUGUAUUUACCGAUUACAGAGUACAGUUAUAGUCAUCGCUAGUGGGAAAGUAGAACUAGCAUACCGUUACCGAUUUUCCACGAGUAGGGACUACCGUUAUAUUUGACUUCUUGCGAAGAAGUCCACAGUUAUACCGAUUACAUGAUCCGUUCGUUGAAACCUCCCAAAUUUGAAUAUUGACAUUAAACAGUGGUUAUCGAGCUUAUUACUGAAUUGUUAAUUGUAUUAUACUACAAGAAAAGCAUGAUGAGACUGAAAACUAUUUAUUGUUUCUGAAAGUGCAUUUUUAUGUUAUUUUCUGUUUGAGAUAUUAGCAUGUUUUCUGACUUGUCCCCAAUAAAAAUGAUUGUGGUUAAGCGUUAUUACUCACUGAGCUUGCGACUCAUUCCCCGCUAAUUUUUUUUUAUAGAGACAGCAGUUGACGCGGGCGAUGAUUUCGUUAAUUAGAGUGCACGGGUUGAUAGCUCUUGGUGAGCCUCGCACUUGUUCGCGUGGGCGGAGAUUUUAUUUAUUGUUAUGGUCUUUUCAUUGAACUCUUAGAGUCGCUCUAUAGUCAUUAUUUUAGUGUCAUGAGUAUUCUUUUGUUAUUAUAGUCUGAUGUUGAGUAUCGUUCUCAUUUAUCAAAGAUGGAGAUAAAUUAGUAUUUCUAGUGGUUAGUUGGUAGUUUAGUUAUGGUGGAGACUUGUAUUGGUUAAUUGACAAGUUGUCUAUUGUUUGGUAUUAUAUUAGGAUGGUUGGUUGUUGAUUUGAGACAGGAAAAUUAUUGGGAUGGUCCAAAAACAGGGGAAACUCUGUCCAAUUUUCUGUAAAAUUAUCGAUGAGACUUACUUGGGAACACUUGCUUCCAAGCGCCGGUCACAAUCCUAAAUUGGGUCGUGACAUUAUGUUACUAUAUUCUUGCUUUGUGUUGAUCGUCAACUCCCACUUUUAGAUGUUGUCAUUGCUUCAGAAGUUUUCAUAUGUUAUGUGCAUGUAUGUGGUAUACUGGCAUACAAUAUACAAUCACUUGGUACGUUGACUCUGAUGUGUUAAUUUACUACGUGAACUAACUCUAUUGAUUACUUUAGUUAAUUCUCUGCAAUUUGUUGAUAUGGUUGUGCGUCACUGCUGUUUCUAGCUUCUUGUUUUGUUGGCACAGAAAAUUAGGUGAUAUCAUAUCGAUCUCCAGUAACUGUAGAGCUAUGAUACCUUUUACAUUUUUAGCUAGGGAAACAUAGAAAAUCUCUAAUCUUUGAUACCUGAACUCUGUUUUUGUUUAGUCUUCUUGUUUUUGGAAGUGUUCACCAGUUAUUGUUCCUUGGCAGAGUGAGUAGUAAGACGAGACAUUGUUUUUCCAGUUAUUCAAUAGCAAGAUACUUACAGUUAUUCAUUCGAAGACAUCAAGACUAUCUGGAAUAGCUACUCUCCUUGAAUGCCCUGUUUUUCCUCCCUCUUUACUGAUGAAAGUAUUACAAGUUUCAUUGUAAUUAUACAACUCUUGGUUUCCUCCUUGGUUAAUUUCUCUAGCAAUAUUUGAUCAAUGAAUUGACUUGUCAUGAUUUUAGCAUCUGUAGACAUAUAUUAUAUACUGUAUAGUGUGGAGUAUAUUAAGUGAUGCCAGGGACUGUACGAAAGGUGCUUCUAGGAUAAAAAUGAUUAGAAGGAAGAGAAGGGGAGGACGGAAGAAGUAGCUCCUUUAGUACUAUGUGGACAAUGAAAAGAGAGAGAGAGAUGUUUGAUGGAGUACAAAUUUUGUUGUAUAGAUUAGUGGAACAUUUUUGUUCUUUCGAUGUUCUUGGAGCACUUCUAAUAUUCUAGUUAGCGUUGAUGACUGGAUGCUGCUAUUCGUAAAGAAACAUGCCUUCUUGUAGGAUUUUUUGUAAAUAUUUUUGUUCUUCAGAUAUUCACGGAGUGCUUCUAAUAUUCCAGUUAGUGUUGAUGCUAUCAGUAAAGAAAUAUGCUUUGUUAUAGGAUUUCUACCUUUUGCAUACAUCUUCUAUGUUGGAUUUUCCCACUAAAUCAAUAAAAUUUAACUCAUAAAAAGAGAUUAUGAGAAACUUACAAAUAUUUUUUUUAUUAUUCUGCAGGGGUUGCCUUAACUUUGUAGAGACAAACCUCUCGUGAACUCGGCUAUCUAGUUUGCACGAAAGACGCCCUGUUUGCCCCCUUUUUUGCGAACCUCAGAGAUGGAUGAAAACUUUAUCAUCUUUUUUAGUUAAUAGGUAGCGUGUAUGUAGUUUCUGCCCUGGCUGUUUUACAACCAUCUGAUGUUUAUACUGGAAGGUUCUAGUUCUGAUUAUCUGACUAGUUGAUCAGAUUGUUCAACCAAUUUCUAUCGCUCAUUGCACUCAUCAGUUGGUACGUGAAUACUCUAAUGGUGAAUACUGAAAUCCUUUGUGUAUGAUACUUUUUUGAAUUUUCUUUUGCUUCAUAACAUCUUUAUUUGUGUUCCCUGCUGAGUUUUUUCUUCACUCAAUUUCUGUCCUUUUCUAUAUCUUUUUGGUAAAUGAUUCUUCGCAUAUGUGAAUUCUCUGGUCUGACUAUGACCAAAAUGCAUGUUGUCUUUAAAUUUGCCAAGUUUACAAUUGGGAAUGUGUGAAUUGCAGUUUUUGUCCUUACACUCAAAGGAGCUGUCAAUAAGUUCACAUUGAUGCUUUGCGACUUGUUGUCAAUUAGUUUUAGUCCUUACAGCUGCUGUGAUGCCUUAUGAAGACAAAUAUUUUUCGUGACCUUAAAUUGUUUAAGGAAGACAAUGGUAGAAUCUUCUUCUGAUUUUCAAUGUUUUAAAUAGUAUAGCUGCAGUGCAAGUGUAAUCUUAGAUUGCUUUUAUAGUGAAUACUCAAUUUUUGAGACAAAAGUGUUAGAUUCUCACUUCACUUGUAUGUGCUUCUUUGUGAGAUUGUUUUUUGAGUGGGAUGUAGAUCAACUAACUGAAUCAUGCUAAAUAUUUGUCUCUUUUCCUAUAUUUCUCUCGUGAUGUG